AGAAAGCACUUAUGCACAUACUGAAAUCUGGUGGCACUUAAACAUGGUUAUAAGUCCAGUAGACUUCACUAGAGUUAAAUCACCUACUUAAGUACUGACCUGAAGGAGGGUCCACAGUUAUUACCAGCAAUCCAUUUAUAACAUGUUAUCCUAAAGAGCAUCCUAAUGUAUUCCUCAAUGAAAAUACAAUGGAGUGGUUUAUUCAUAUUACUGAAUAAGAAUGUGACUGAUUGACUGUUCUGUAUUGUCUAUGUCAGAGAGUAAUAAAGUUCUACCAUUAACUUAUUAAUUCUUAUUUAGAAAUUUUUCAUAUAACCGACAUGUUAUUUUGAUGUAAGUAAGCACUCUAUCUUUUUGAACAUUUUUUUUUGGUCUGGAGGGGACAACUCACAUAGCACUGCCAAUUGGCCAGGAUUAUGAGACAUAUAACUCAUGUAAAAAAUCUUUUUGUAGUAUAUAGAUGAUUAAUAAUAGAUUCAAAUAUCAAAAGAAUAAGAUGUAUUUCAUCACUUAAUUUGGGGGAAACACGCAGAAUAUUGUCCCUGUAACAGCAGUAGCAUAGAGCUGCACUCUAGAGGGGGAGUAAAGACAAAGUAGCUAUGAUGGUGUUGUUGAGCUUUAAUUCUUUUUAUGACAAUUCAUAAGGAAUUUCCCUAACCCAACUCCUGGUUAAUCACAGCCUCUUCCUGACAGUUUCCUUGUACUGACUCAUGUGGAUUUAAUAGUGUUUGUGGGGGGCACCCAGCUGAUAGAGCUCACUCUUGUAAGCUGCUUACAUGAGUGUAUAUUUUUCGUUUUGAAUGUCAUGUCUUCAGCAAGCUGUUUGCAUUUAUGUGAUUUUUCUCUCCUUAAUUCCUGUCUGUCUAAUGCAUUUAUUAUUGGAGGUUGAACACGUGGAUUCAAAGUGACAGCUCAACCGCCUUCUUUCUUGCUGCUUCUUGGUAAAGCUGAACUGUGGACAUUAUCUUUCUAUCCACUCUCUCUGGUUCGUCCCUGUCCCUUUAGGUUGUCUCUAAAUCCUGCCACAUCUUCUUCUAGAAUAUCUGCAAAUUCUUUUACUUUCUGGCUAUGAAAACUGUUGGUAUUUCCCACUUGGCCAAUGCAACAGCUUUCUGAGUGUACAUCCUGGCAACUCUUCACCUCGUGUUUUGUCUGUUGUUCAAGACAGGUAGGAAGGAAGACAGAACACAAGAGAUGGACUGAAACUUUGACUCAUCUGGGAACUAUUCUGCAAUAACUCACAGUACAGGGCAUCAUUCUUUCCCUCAACUAUUCCACCUGGAAGCAACAGCUGUUUUAUCGUGAUGCAUCUUGGUACAGCAAGUCAUUCAGCAUAUCUGAGGAAUGACAAGAGGUUGGGGAUCAUCAUGGAAGCAAUUACCAGGGUACCCAACCCGUAGAAGAGAACGGGGACAAAAAGCACCUGCACAACUUCUGUGUGGUUCUGCACAGAUAUUUUUGAAUCCAAGUCUUCAAUUUUCUUUCUUAGCUGAAAAAUUUUAUUUUCCAUUUUUUUAAUCCAAGGGGAAAAAGUAAGAAAUGUUCAUACAUAAUCUCUAUAAAAUCAUUUUUCCCCAUGUGUGGCAAUAUCUUCCAUGGAUGAGACUACUUUUCCAACAAACUCUAGUAAUACAACAUCCUGGCAAAGUUCAGAGAUGCUGCCUCAUCUAACCUCAUUGGCUAAAGAAGGUCCUAAAUUACUGCGGACAUGGUGUGGUUCUCUUAUGCAGGGGUCCUGUUGUCUUCUCAGGGCAUUUGGGCAAUGAAUAAAUGUACUUGUAGAUACUUUGACUCUAGACCACCCAAAAUACCUCGUGUGGUUAACUGCAGGGGACAGAAGCAACAAGCCAUGAAUGCAAACUAUGAAAUAUAGCUACAUUUAUCAUUGGACAGCAGCCCUGAAGCACUGGUGGCUAUAGGAGGCCUGAGGGAUCUCAGUAACCAUAGUUUGCUUAACAGGACUGGUGAUCAAAGAACUUGCCCUCAUUCAUGCUGUGAACUACAUCUCCUUCCCUUCCCAUUCAGCCAGGCUCCAUGUCUAAGAAGGGAUAAAGGGAGAACCUGUGUAAGCAGAUGGUCAAUAAAAUCCCAGACAGGCCCAUUUUGAAGACUACUUAUGCUUUAGUAACUGGGCUCGAUAUAGGAGGUCUUCAGUAAACCUUUGUAUUAUAGGCAGAAUGGUCAUUCUUACAUCUUACUUAAUGUCUUCCUUUGUCAGGACUCCUGUUCAUGCAGUUUAAUUUUUCUCAAAUGUAAAGCACUUGUCCCAAAAUGAAAGAUUCUGUAUUUUGCUGAAUAAGAAAUAGCCUUUGAAGCCAUUUCAUUUUUCAUUAUAGUGUUACAGAUUACCUGAUAGUCAUGCUGGGCUUGAUUCUCACUUUCACUAAAGCUACUUUACAUCAGUCUCACAAAGGGGCUUUGAAACAUGCAUUAAUUACAUUCACAUUCACUUGAAGGCCAGCAUUCGUGCCAGAGAGGUAUAAAACCAGCCUGGUAUACUUGAGAAUCAGGUUCAUUGAUUCCAAAAGUUGGUUUUACUUAAGUCUUACAGGAUAAGGACCUCUUUUUACUGAUUUUUUCAUAUGUACAGUUUUAUGAUUACAUUGUGGUCAUAAAUAGCUUAACUAUUAAAAUAAUGCCUAGUAUGCUUCAUCUUCUCUUUGUUUUCUUGCUACAUGCCACAUGCUUCUGAGUAUAUAUAGUUUUAGUUAGACUUAAUAUCACUGUCCACACAGCAUAUUAUUUUCUGUUGUGUAAUAAGGAGAGUUCUUCAUUAGUUGCAGCUGUCUCAGUGAUAGCAAAAAAACCUUAUACAGUAAGGAGGGCAUUUUCAAAUUUGGAACAAGGCUUUAUACCAUUAAAAUGUAUAUGU